UAAGAUGAAAAAAGAACCCUGAAGCCACCUGAACUCAUCUAAUUUUAGAAGCCAAGUGGAGUUGGGUCUGGCCAGUACUUGGAUGGUUGACUACCAAGAAAUUCCAGGGAUCCUCUGGU
rnacentral:rRNA from 11 species